rnacentral:rRNA from 1 species
UUUCCGGUUGAUCCUGCCGGACCUGACUGCUAUCGGAUUGAUACUAAGCCAUGCGAGUCUUUGCAGUAAUGCAAGGCAUACGGCUCAGUAACACGUAGUCAACUUACCCUAUGGACGAGGAUAAUCUCGGGAAACUGAGCAUAAUACUCGAUAGAUCAUAAUGCCUGGAAUGGUUUAUGGUUGAAAUGAUUCGUCGCCAUAGGAUGGGACUGCGGCCUAUCAGCUUGUUGGUGAGGUAAUGGCCCACCAAGGCGAUUACAGGUACGGGCUCUGAGAGGAGAAGCCCGGAGAUGGGUACUGAGACAAGGACCCAGGCCCUAUGGGGCGCAGCAGGCGAGAAAACUUUGCAAUGUGCGAAAGCACGACAAGGUUAAUCCGAGUGAUUUCUGCUAAAGAAAUCUUUUGCAAGUCAUAAAACCACUAGUGAAUAAGGGGUGGGCAAGUUCUGGUGUCAGCCGCCGCGGUAAAACCAGCACCUCAAGUGGUCAGGAGGAUUAUUGGGCCUAAAGCAUCCGUAGCCGGCUCUGUAAGUUUUCGGUUAAAUCCAUGUGCUCAACGCAUGGGCUGCCGAAAAUACUGCAUAGCUAGGGAGUGGGAGAGGUAGACGGUACUCGGUAGGAAGGGGUAAAAUCCUUUGAUCUAUCGAUGACCACCUGUGGCGAAGGCGGUCUACCAGAACACGUUCGACGGUGAGGGAUGAAAGCUGGGGGAGCAAACCGGAUUAGAUACCCGGGUAGUCCCAGCUGUAAACGAUGCAGACUCGGUGAUGCAUUGGCAUAUAGCCAGUGCAGUGUCGCAGGGAAGCCGUUAAGUCUGCCGCCUGGGAAGUACGUACGCAAGUAUGAAACUUAAAGGAAUUGGCGGGGGAGCACCACAAGGGGUGAAGCCUGCGGUUCAAUUGGAGUCAACGCCGGG